ensembl:lncRNA LOC120103039 uncharacterized LOC120103039
GUGGGUGGAAGUCAGAGGACAACUUAUGGGAAACUAUCCUCUCUUCCCACCAUGCAUUGCUAGGGAACAAAUCAGGCCAUGAGACUCGGCAGCGAGCAUCCCUACCCACUGAGCCAUCUCACCAGCUCUCGUUCUUUCUCACACAUUUUCGAUGCUAAGGAUCAACUCAAGCCCAGGACCUCAGGCACACUAGUCAAUUGCCCUGUCCCACUGAGCUAAAUUGCUAGCCUUCAUCUGUUUAAUUCCGAGGCCCUUGCUCUGAACACUACUAUCAAGGAGCUGUUUCCAUCUGCUGUCGCCGAGCACUGCCCACCAGACACCGAGCACUGCCCACCAGACACCGAGCACAGCCCACCAGACACCGGAAAACCUUGGGUGUCUCAGACAAUGGCCACGCGUUAGAUGUGCCUCACUUAGCUGAACAAAAACUUCAAACCACAUUUGACUGGUUUCCAAAUGACAGCAGCUGCGGGUCAGUCUCAAAGAGGAACGCCUGCGCAUGCGUUCCGCGCUACUCCCUGCCCACUUGAGGCUGCCUGGGACCCACUGGAGGUGAAAUCAGGGGCCUCUUCAUUCUAGAAGGCUUCAGUGGGCUGGAGAGACAGAGAUGGCUCACGAAGUUUAGAGAACGCCUGAGGAGUCAAGCAACCUAUCAGAGGCCACUCAGCCAGGAAGCAGAGAGAAGAAGGUUGCAAUGUGAACUCGGCCACUCCAGAAGGCAAGCUACUUAAACUCGC